rnacentral:rRNA from 1 species
CGGGAGGCAGCAGUGAGGAAUAUUGGUCAAUGGGCGAGAGCCUGAACCAGCCAAGUAGCGUGCAGGAAGACGGCCCUAUGGGUUGUAAACUGCUUUUAUGUGGGGAUAAAGUGAGCUACGUGUAGUUUAUUGCAGGUACCACAUGAAUAAGGACCGGCUAAUUC